UGCCACCGAUUCGGAUCUUGCUGCCCCUGGCCAUCUGCACUGCGCUCCGAGAGCUCGAAAUCUAUUAAAUCUGAACCUGUUGCUGGUCCUCAAUCAAGGUGUGGCUCUCUGCCAGCUGCCAUGCUGUUGUUGCUGCUCUCUACUUGCCGACACAACCAAGGUGAGUUUGGAAAAUACAGAAUGUAUUUCCAGGUAGCAAAGAAGGAACCGAAAUACAGUUACCAUGUAGUAUUUCAAUAUCACUGCAUCAGCCAUUCUAUUCUCAAUCAAUCUGAACUUCAGCAUUACUUGUAUGGGAUCCGCCGAUUAUUGUGUGACCAGAGCUUACAGCCGUAUGAACAGAGCUA